UAAUUAAGCGCCCGCCAUUAAGUCCCCUAUAUCGUUGUGAGGAGUCCUAUAUUUGAUUAUUUAAAAGUUAAAGACUCUUUAAGCGCUUGAUCUAUUAUCGAGUUAUUAUUUAGAGAUCACCUGGACGUCACUGCAGUUUAGUAUAGUAGUAUAUACCCUUAUGAGAAGCUAUGUAAAGUGAAGUAAUUCGAUGAGAUUUAUAGACAUCUAUUUGUAUGAGAGUAAAAUAAUAUUAGAAAAGAAGGUUGUUACCCCUUAUUACGGUCUUACUGAAAUUACAAAAGUGUACAACACUACUAUAAGGAUUGCCCACCCAUUCAAGUAGGAAAUAAAUCAUGAACUCAAGAGAAGGUAUAUUAUCACCCAUUUGAGGAUUAUAAGCAAACCACAAUGAACUAGUUAAUGAUUCUGAAUAAACAAAAUAACUAGUUUUGAUUUUCUUGGGUAACGUCUUUGUCCAUCCUAUAAUUAUGAGUCAUAUCAAGUACUUUUUUGUAGUGUAAAUCUUUAUUCUAU
rnacentral:lncRNA from 1 species